GAUGAACGCUGGCGGCGUGCCUAAUACAUGCAAGUCGAGCGAACGGACGAGAAGCUUGCUUCUCUGAUGUUAGCGGCGGACGGGUGAGUAACACGUGGAUAACCUACCUAUAAGACUGGGAUAACUUCGGGAAACCGGGGCUAAUACCGGAUAAUAUUUUGAACCGCAUGGUUCAAAAGUGAAAGACGGUCUUGCUGUCACUUAUAGAUGGAUCCGCGCUGCAUUAGCUAGUUGGUAAGGUAACGGCUUACCAAGGCAACGAUGCAUAGCCGACCUGAGAGGGUGAUCGGCCACACUGGAACUGAGACAGGGUCCAGACUCCUACGGGAGGCAGCAGUAGGGAAUCUUCCGCAAUGGGCGAAAGCCUGACGGAGCAACGCCGCGUGAGUGAUGAAGGUCUUCGGAUCGUAAAACUCUGUUAUUAGGGAAGAACAUAUGUGUAAGUAACUGUGCACAUCUUGACGGUACCUAAUCAGAAAGCCACGGCUAACUACGUG
rnacentral:rRNA from 1 species